GACGAACGCUGGCGGCGUGCUUAACACAUGCAAGUCGAACGGAAAGGCCCUGCUUUUGUGGGGUGCUCGAGUGGCGAACGGGUGAGUAACACGUGAGUAACCUGCCCUUGACUUUGGGAUAACUUCAGGAAACUGGGGCUAAUAUCGGAUAGGAGCUCCUGAUGCAUGGUGGGGGUUGGAAAGUUUCGGCGGUUGGGGAUGGACUCGCGGCUUAUCAGCUUGUUGGUGGGGUAGUGGCUUACCAAGGUUUUGACGGGUAGCCGGCCUGAGAGGGUGACCGGCCACAGUGUGACUGAGAUACGGCCCAGACGCCUACGGGAGGCAGCAGUGGGGAAUAGUGCACAAUGGGCGGAAGCCUGAUGCAGCAACGCCGCGUGCGGGAUGACGGCCUUCGGGUUGUAAACCGCUUUCGCCUGUGACGAAGCGUGAGUGACGGUAAUGAGUAAAGAAGCACCGGCUAACUACUU
rnacentral:rRNA from 1 species